rnacentral:rRNA from 1 species
CCUACGGGAGGCAGCAGUGGGGAAUAUGGACAAGGGGGGAAAGCGGGAUCCAGCCAUGCGGCGCGAGCGAAGACCGUCCCGGAUGUAAAGCACUAAUCCGGGGGGAAGGACAGCUCGUCAUACCGGGGAAGACGGUACCCACAGAAUAAGCACGGCAACUUCGG